ensembl:lncRNA
UUUUUUUUUUUAGUCAAUAAAGUACUUAAAGCACAUGAAGAUGAGUGCUCCAUAUAUGCCUUUUAUUGUUGGUUACUUGCAUGAUAUUUCUUCGGAGGAAUUAUAAAAUCGGAUUUCCAUUAAAUAUUUGAUCCUAGAGUAUACAGCUCUGGAGAAUAUUAUGUGCCUCUUUGCUAUCUAAAAGGGAUAAACAUCUGUUUUAUUGUUUGGUCUUAAUUUAAAAUGCUUCUGUUUCAUCAUCUGAUCUUACUUAAGAUGCUGUAGUGUAACAGGGAGAGAAAAAGCUGGAUACGAAGGAUGGUGCAUUGACAUUUUAAGGCCUUAAUGGUAAAGCAUCAUCACUCCAAAGGGGCCAGUGCGAGUACUUCAGAAUUUGUUACCUGUGUCUGCCCCAGAAAUCUGCUUAAUUUGCAUGAGAAUAUUAGAAAUAAUUUUUGGGGGGUCUUUUUAGGGCCACACCUGUGGCAUAGGGAAGUUCUCAGGCUAGGGGUUGAAUCAAAGCUGUAUGCUACAGCCACAGCAACACGGGAUCCAAGCACAGGAGCUGAGCCUCAUCUACACCACAGCUCAUGGCAACGCCAGAUCCUUAACCUACUAAGCGAGGUCAGGGAUCGAACCUUUGUCCUCAUGGAUACUAGUCGGGUUCGUUUCUGCUAAGCUGCAAUGGGAAUUACAGAAAUAAUUUUUAAUUGGCAAAACAGUGCUGUUCAAGAGUUGGGAUUGCCUGGCAAAACUCAAGAGAUGGGACUGCUUGGAAAGCCAGAAGCGAAGAUUUUCAAGGAGAGAAUAGUCAGCAGUGACCUACCCCAUGCAUGGUAAGGAAGCCUGGUGAGAUCUAAGUGAACUUGACAAUUAGGAGGUCAUUGUUGGCCUUGGAGAGAGCAGCCUUAGUGAUCACAGAGGACAAAAAGAUGGACAGCAGCGAACUGACAGUGAAUAGGAGGUGAUAAAGUCAACACUAAGUCUGGACUGGUUUGUAGAAAAGUCUAGGUGUAGAGGGAGAAGUAUGAGAGUCAGGCAUGCUCAGUGUAGACUGGGUGGGGAGACAGGGUAAUUUCUGUUUUUGUUUUUAAGUAUGUGACUUUUUUGGUAAGCUAAGGAAAAAGAACCAAUGAGAGGGAAAAAAAUUGAGAGAGAGAGAGAGAAAGAAAGAGAAAGCUCGGGAGGGAAAGAGCAUGAUUAAUGAGGCAAGGUCCUGAAUGUGGGAGGAUGGACGUAGAGCCACAAAAGCCAUGGGGCGGAGGGGAGGCCUCCUCUUCCAGGUCAGGAAGAGGAUAAUCCACGUGUGGACAGUCCUGCUGGGAGCUGGUGGGAACCCAGGCUCCUGGCUUUCCUUCUCUUGGCUGCAGUGGAAGAGCCUCUGCUCUGAGCAUAUGGAGCAAGGGCAGGCAAUGGUACCAGGAUCACCCCCUCUCUGGCUUCACUUCCUCGUUCCUAACCCAAGAGUAGACUCCAAAGCCUCAGGGUGGGAAGCUCUGAAACUGCAUUUUUUUUGUCUUUUUCUAGGGCCACUUCCCGCAGCAUAUGGAGGAUAAUAUGAGAAAAAUAAUAUAUAUGUAUGUAUGACUGGGUCACUUUGCUGUACAGCAGAAAGUGUCACAUUAUAAAUUGACUAUACUUUAAUUAAAAAAAAACUGAAAGAAAAAAAUUUGUAAGUGCGCUGAGCAUCUCACUAAAUUCUAAACAUAAUUCUAAACAUUUCAUCAAAUUUGAGAAUCCAGUUUGAAAAAUGAGUGGCUAGGCCAAGAGAAUUUACUUAACAAUAUAAACUCAACAGUCCUUUUUCAUUGGAUGCUAUGUACAAGGCAUUUUCUAGGCUCUAGGAUUAUAUCAGGGAACAAAAUAUAGAUUCCGCACUCAGAGAUCUUCUAGUAGAAAGAUUAGCCGGUAGUUUUGUGCUAUUUGGCAGAGUUAUGGGGAAAUGCUUCUGGCUCUAAAUAUAAACUGUGGUGAGAACAGCUACAUGUAACUC